GACGAACGCUGGCGGCGUGCCUAACACAUGCAAGUCAAGGAAAUGGUUCCCUUCGGGGGAUCGGAAACUGGCGCACGGGUGAGUAACGCGUAGGUAAUCUGCCCUAAUCCGGAACAUAACGUCGGGAAACCGGCACUAAUAUUCCAUGAGGCCUUCGGGUCAAAGCUUCGGCGGUUUAGGAUGAGCCUGCGUCUGAUUAGCUAGUUGGUAGAGUAACGGCCUACCAAGGCUACGAUCAGUAGCUGGUCUGAGAGGAUGAUCAGCCACACUGGAACUGAGACACGGUCCAGACUCCUACGGGUGGCUG
rnacentral:rRNA from 1 species